GACGAACGCUGGCGGCGUGCCUAAUACAUGCAAGUUGAGCGAUGAAGAUUGGUGCUUGCACCAAUUUGAAGAGCAGCGAACGGGUGAGUAACGCGUGGGGAAUCUGCCUUUGAGCGGGGGGCAACAUUUGGAAACGAAUGCUAAUACCGCAUAACAACUUUAAACAUAAGUUUUAAGUUUGAAAGAUGCAAUUGCAUCACUCAAAGAUGAUCCCGCGUUGUAUUAGCUAGUUGGUGAGGUAAAGGCUCACCAAGGCGAUGAUACAUAGCCGACCUGAGAGGGUGAUCGGCCACAUUGGGACUGAGACACGGCCCAAACUCCUACGGGAGGCAGCAGUAGGGAAUCUUCGGCAAUGGACGAAAGUCUGACCGAGCAACGCCGCGUGAGUGAAGAAGGGUUUCGGAUCGUAAAACUCUGUUGGUAGAGAAGAACGUUGGUGAGAGUGGAAAGCUCAUCAAGUGACGGUAACUACCCAGAAAGGGACGGCUAACUACGUG
rnacentral:rRNA from 1 species